CGGUUGCGUAGGAGAGUUAUCAUAGGAGAGAGGGGACUGGUGGGGCAGCAGAAUCCUCUUUUACUUUGCAAGUUUUAGAGUACUAUUUGGCUUUUAAAGCCACUUAAUUAAAAAAAGAAAAGAAAAGAAAAAGGAGAACCCUUAGUGACCCUUAGUAACUGGGAAGCCGAGAUUUCUCAGCAGGCUUCCCCACUUACUAGCUGUGUGAUCUUGGGCAAGUCACUCCAUCCUCUGAAACGCUGGUUUACUCAUCUGUUAAAGGAAGCUUCACCCACCCACUGAGUUGCUGUAAGGUUUGGUGACAAGCUUUGACUGCUGUUAAGAAGAGAUACCUAUUAAGAAAAGACUCAAGAGGGCCAAGGUGAAAACAAGGAGACCAGUUGGAGGCUAUAGCGAUAAUCCAGCUCUCAGACUCCCCAAGAGAGCAUCUCAGGACCCUGGAGCUUCUCUUUGCUCUUUCCCAAACUGGUUCAUGAGCACCACAAUGGGGCCAAGUGUUUCUCCAACAUGGGUGAGCAAGGUGGGACGCCUGCCACAGCAUGGCUUGAUAAGCAGUGCAUAGGUCCGCGUCUAGGAUCUGAACCUGUGAACCCUGGGCCAGCGAAGCAGAGCCUGCAAACUUAACCACCACACCACUAGGCUGGCCCCUGAUUUUUAAAAAUACUUGUGAUAGGAGUAG
rnacentral:lncRNA from 1 species